rnacentral:rRNA from 1 species
GACAGAGGGGGGCAAGCGUUGCUCGGAAUCACUGGGCGUAAAGGGCGCGUAGGCGGGAUGCAAGUCGGUCGUGAAAUCUCUCGGCUCAACCGAGAAACGUCGGCCGAUACUGCCGUUCUUGAGGGAUGCAGAGGAGACUGGAAUUCCCGGUGUAGCGGUGAAAUGUGUAGAGAUCGGGAGGAACACCGGUGGCGAAGGCGGGUCUCUGGGCAUUUCCUGACGCUGAGGCGCGAAAGCGUGGGGAGCAAACGGG